AGAGAUAAAGCUUAAAAUUGAGCAGUUCAUUUACAUUGAAAUGGUUCUCGUGCAAGUCGAGAUAUCUUUA
rnacentral:tRNA from 1 species